AAGAACUGAGAGAUGCCAUCCCUUUUUUUUUUUUUAAAUAAUGGGGAUUAGGGGAGAUCAUGAUUGAGAUGUGAACACAAGAGGUAAAAGAAGAUGUCUCAGAAUCAGAUUUCUACUUCCUUCUACUGACUGGUAACCACCUUCAGUCUCCUGCUUCCUUUUCCUCCAUUGGACCAGAGGUAAUCUGAUGGAAGAUUUGUGGAAGGACAUACACAUUAUUGACUGAAGAAGAGAAGACUUGGGCAAUAAUAAUAUGAGCUCUCAGAAAAUAUUUGAACCUGGUACUACUAUGUCUUCCAUAUUUUAUUUGGGACGUGAAGAUAUGCAAGUUCAGGAAAGAAAACAAGAACCUGCAGCUUAAUGGGAAGUUAACGCAGUAUGUACUACUAUUAAAGUGAUUAAUUUCAAA